AGAGUUUGAUCCUGGCUCAGAAUCAACGCUGGCGGCGUGCCUAACACAUGCAAGUCGAACGAGAAAGGGUAGCAAUACCUGAGUAAAGUGGCGCACGGGUGAGUAACACGUGACUAACCUACCCUGGAGUGGGGGAUAACUGAGGGAAACCUUAGCUAAUACCGCAUAAUACCCACGGGUCAAAGGAGCAAUUCGCUCCAGGAGGGGGUCGCGGCCGAUUAGUUAGUUGGCGGGGUAAUGGCCCACCAAGACGAUGAUCGGUAUCCGGCCUGAGAGGGCGCACGGACACACUGGAACUGAAACACGGUCCAGACUCCUACGGGAGGCAGCAGUGGGGAAUUUUGCGCAAUGGGGGAAACCCUGACGCAGCAACGCCGCGUGGAGGAUGAAGUCCUUCGGGACGUAAACUCCUUUCGAUCGGGACGAUUAUGACGGUACCGGAAGAAGAAGCCCCGGCUAACUUCGUGCCAGCAGCCGCGGUAAUACGAGGGGGGCGAGCGUUGUUCGGAAUUAUUGGGCGUAAAGGGUGCGUAGGCGGUUUGGUAAGUCUUGUGUGAAAUCUACAGGCUCAACUUGUAGUCUGCACGAGAAACUGCCGGGCUUGAGUGUGGGAGAGGUGAGUGGAAUUCCUGGUGUAGCGGUGAAAUGCGUAGAUAUCAGGAGGAACACCUGUGGCGAAAGCGGCUCACUGGACCAUAACUGACGCUGAUGCACGAAGCUAGGGGAGCAAACAGGAUUAGAUACCCUGGUAGUCCUAGCCCUAAACGAUGACUGCUUGGUGUGACGGGUACCCAAUCCCGCCGUGCCGUAGCUAACGCGUUAAGCAGUCCGCCUGGGGAGUACGGUCGCAAGGCUGAAACUCAAAGGAAUUGACGGGGGCCCGCACAAGCGGUGGAGCAUGUGGUUUAAUUCGACGCAACGCGAAGAACCUUACCUGGGCUCGAAAUGUUAUGGACCGGGGUAGAAAAUAUCCCUUCCC
rnacentral:rRNA from 1 species